rnacentral:rRNA from 1 species
GACGAACGCUGGCGGCGUGCUUAACACAUGCAAGUCGAACGAAGUGGCGCACGGGUGAGUAACGCGUAAUCAACCUGCCCUUCAGCGGGGGACAACAGUUGGAAACGACUGCUAAUCCCGCAUACUGAAGGAGGGGAUUGCGUCGGAUUAGCUCGUUGGAGGGGUAACGGCCCCCCAAGGCGAUGAUCAGUAGCCGGUCUGAGAGGAUGAACGGCCACAUUGGGACUGGAGCCCGGGCCAGACUCCGACGGGAGGCCGCAGUGGGGAAUCGUCCGCAAUGGACGAAAGUCUGACGGAGCAACGCCGCGUGAGUGAUGACGGCCUUCGGGUUGUAAAGCUCUGUUAAGCGGGACGCGGUACCGGAAUAGAAAGCCACGGCUAACUACGUGCCAGCAGCCGCGGUAAUAC